CCUACGGGUGGCAGCAGUGAGGAAUAUUGGUCAAUGGGCUUACGCCUGAACCAGCCAAGUCGCGUGAGGGAAGACUGCCCUAUGGGUUGUAAACUUCUUUUAUAUGGGAAUAAAAUGUUCCACGUGUGGGAUUUUGUAUGUACCAUAUGAAUAAGGAUCGGCUAACUCCGUGCCAGCAGCCGCGGUAAUACGGAGGAUCCGAGCGUUAUCCGGAUUUAUUGGGUUUAAAGGGAGCGUAGGUGGAUUGUUAAGUCAGUUGUGAAAGUUUGCGGCUCAACCGUCAAAUUGCAGUUGAAACUGGCAGGCUUGAGUACAGUAGAGGUGGGCGGAAUUCGUGGUGUAGCGGUGAAAUGCUUAGAUAUUACGAAGAACUCCGAGUGCGAAGGCAGCUCACUGGACUGCAACUGACACUGAGGCUCGAAAGUGUGGGUAUCAAACAGGAGUAGAUACCCCUGUAGUC
rnacentral:rRNA from 1 species